GAGGGUAUAGCUCAAGUGGUAGAGCACAUGCUUAGCAAGGACGAGGUCCUGGGUUCAAUCCCCAGUACCUCCU
rnacentral:tRNA from 1 species